rnacentral:rRNA from 1 species
CCUACGGAGGCAGCAGUGGGGAAUUUUGGACAAUGGGCGCAAGCCUGAUCCAGCAAUGCCGCGUGAGUGAAGAAGGCCUUCGGGUUGUAAAGCUCUUUUGUCAGGGAAGAAACGGUCUACUCUAAUACAGUGGGCUAAUGACGGUACCUGAAGAAUAAGCACCGGCUAACUACGUGCCAGCAGCCGCGGUAAUACGUAGGGUGCAAGCGUUAAUCGGAAUUACUGGGCGUAAAGCGUGCGCAGGCGGUUAUAUAAGUCAGAUGUGAAAUCCCCGGGCUCAACCUGGGAACUGCAUUUGAGACUGUAUGGCUAGAGUGUGUCAGAGGGGGGUAGAAUUCCACGUGUAGCAGUGAAAUGCGUAGAUAUGUGGAGGAAUACCGAUGGCGAAGGCAGCCCCCUGGGAUAACACUGACGCUCAUGCACGAAAGCGUGGGGAGCAAACAGGAUUAGAUACCCUGGUAGUCCACGCCCUAAACGAUGUCUACUAGUUGUCGGGACUUAAUUGUNUUGUACGCAGCUACGCGNGAGUAGACGCCGCGGGUAAGGUACGGUCGCGAGUAAGUUAAACGUUAACUAAUUAGAGUUAGUACGGACGUUGAGACGNGCGACGGACGACGACGAGGGAGGAGGAGG